CGAGUCUUAAUUGGGCGUUAAGUUGCAGGGUAUAGACCCGAAACCCGGUGAUCUAGCCAUGGGCAGGUUGAAGGUUGGGUAACACUAACUGGAGGACCGAACCGACUAAUGUUGAAAAAUUAGCGGAUGACCUGUGGCUGGGGGUGAAAGGCCAAUCAAACCGGGAGAUAGCUGGUUCUCCCCGAAAGCUAUUUAGGUAGCGCCUCGUGAAUUCAUCUCCGGGGGUAGAGCACUGUUUCGGCUAGGGGGCCAUCCCGGCUUACCAACCCGAUGCAAACUGCGAAUACCGGAGAAUGUUAUCACGGGAGACACACGGCGGGUGCUAACGUCCGUCGUGAAGAGGGAAACAACCCAGACC
rnacentral:rRNA from 1 species